rnacentral:rRNA from 1 species
UCUGGUGAUAAUGGCGGAGGGGGUCCACCCGUUCCCAUUCCGAACACGGCAGUUAAGCCCUCCAGCGCCGAUGGUACUUGGACCGCAGGGUCCCGGGAGAGCAGGUCAUUGCCAGAC